UAGGGAAUCUUCCACAAUGGACGCAAGUCUGAUGGAGCAACGGCCGCGUGAGUGAAGAAGGUUUUCGGACCGUAAAGCUCUGUUGUUGGUGAAGAAGGAUAGAGGUAGUAACUGGCCUUUAUUUGACGGUAAUCAACCAGAAAGUCACGGCUAACUACGUGCCAGCAGCCGCGGUAAAUCGUAGGUGGCAAGCGUUGUCCGGAUUUAUUGGGCGUAAAGCGAGCGCAGGCGGAAGAAUAAGUCUGAUGUGAAAGCCCUCGGCUUAACCGAGGAAUUGCAUCGGAAACUGUUUUCUUGAGUGCAGAAGAGGAGAGUAGAACUCCAUGUGUAGCGGUGGAAUGCGUAGAUAUAUGGAAGAAUACCAGUGGCGAAGGCGGCUCUCUGGUCUGCAACUGACGCUGAGGCUCGAAAGCAUGGGUAGCGAACAGGAUUAGAUACCCUGGUAGUCCAUGCCGUAAACGAUGAGUGCUAAGUGUUGGGAGGCUUCCGCCUCUCAGUGCUGCAGCUAACGCAUUAAGCACUCCGCCUGGGGGAGUACGACC
rnacentral:rRNA from 1 species